UUAUGGGUGCUCAGUUCUGGAUAUUGCGACGCGGGAGCUUAAGGAGAAGAAAUUGAUGCAACAUAUUCGCCACUUAUGAAGUUCCCUUGCACAAAUAUGUGGCUAUGAUGGAACUCGAGGCUUCCAAGGUUUAUGUGUUGCAAUCAUCAUCGAUCAGGGGUACGCUACUAUUUUUAGUUUGAUUUACCUUGCAGUUGUAUGAUUGUAUGUGAGGUUUUGAUUUUAAUUUAAUUCUACUUUGUGCAUCAGUGGCUUCAUAAUGGUUUUUUCAUAUAUUUUCUUUCAUUUCAUGUACAUUAUUAAUUGGAUAGGAUAAUAUUUUGAUACAUGGAUUGAGCAUAAUAGAUCAUAGUUGGGCAAAAAGAGGGACUUUAGUACAGAACCGGUCGUGUUUAAUGUUCUAGAUAUGAUUAGAAACUUAUAUU